GCUAAAUGGAUACCACCUCCGUCGGGAGUGGCGAAGAUCAGAGUUGAUGGAGCAACUGCGAGAAAUACCCUCGAGGGUACGUUCAGCGCAGUGUGCAAAGAUGAUACCGGGUUAUUCCUAGGAGCCUCGGCGAUCAAGAUUCCGGGAGUGGUGGAUCCGGCUACUCUGGAAGCCUUGGCAUGUCGUGAGGCGCUUGCUCUAGUGUCGGACUUGGAUAUUUCCCGGCUUGUUAUUGCAUCGGACUGCCAGGGAGUGAUCAGGGACAUCAAAGAAGGCACGGGAGAAUUAUAUGCUAGUACUAUCAAGGAGAUCAAUGAGACGGCACAUGACUUUGAUCAUUGCACCUUCAUCUUUGAGGGCAGAUCGACAAAUAUCGAGGCACAUAGCGUCGCUAAACACGCUUUCGGACUAGAUUAUGGGCGCCACUUAUGGCUUAUAAACCCACCAGACAUUCAUUGUAUUCCUAUGAACUUUUAUGAUCAAUAA
rnacentral:rRNA from 1 species